GGGCUUAGGUUAAACAAACCAGGAGCCUUCAAAGCUCCAAAUAAGUAUUCACACUUAGCCCCUG
rnacentral:tRNA from 1 species